CCGCCGUUGAAGAGCACCGAAGAGUGCGCUAAAGACGGCGCCGCCGACGCGUGGGUGUUCGACGUCGAUGAGAUGAUGCUCUCCAAACUCCCCUACUACGCGCAGCACAGAUACGGAUGGGAGAGGCGGCAGUGAUCCAUUCCAGCAUGACUGUUGUACAAGGAGGUGUGAGAGCUCGGCUUCAAGACCUUCUUGCUCAGCGGCUGCAUCGAGGUUCACAAGGGUGUCACGGUGGACAAUCUAAAAAAAAAGGGUUCCAUGAGUGGGGCAAGCUUUCCUGAGUUUGGGCAGUCAUUAAGCACUACGGCCAGCUAUGCAAGUCGACGGCUACAACAUGCAGUAUCCACAGAUGUUCCAAUUCUCAUCUGUGGCCUCUAGAGAUGCUGCUGUAACAGUCUUUGUACGGAAAUACGGACAGCAAUUGUCACUUGCAGGGAGUCCUCAAGCCCAAGCAGGUACUACUAGCAUCUUUUAUACAUCUACUUCAUACUUCUCUAACAAUUUGGCUUUGGUUGUUCAAGCCAGACAGUGUCCGGCUAAACAAAGCAACAAGUGCGACCUUUUAGAGUUUAGUACAUAUAUUCCUCAUGGUAAAUAAAUCGCAUCCCGUAAUAAUAGAUUAUAUUUCAAUAUAUUAUAGCUCUAUCUGCUCUAGAGUAUUACUGACAUAUUAGCUUCAUGUAUGGAUUUCUCUCAGCUUACUCACAAUAUAAGCAUCUGAUCGUUGGCUUCGAGACUUUUUGGUGUAUGAUAUAUGUUCCCAGCUCAAGUUUUCGUUGUUAGAGUAAGUGUGUAGCGUUAGAAUAUGCCUACCUCUUUUAUCUUUUACCAUCCCAUUCUUAUUUUAAACUGGGGAUCUAGAUUGGCAAGUGAUUUGUUGAUAUUAUACAUACUCAUAAGACACAUGUUUGGCGCGUUUGAAAACUGGUAAGAUUGUGCCAUUGGUGAUCAGUUUGUUCAUUGAUCAGCCUAGAGAUGAUUCCAAGUUGUGGUUUUAUUGUUGCCUUGCAUGUUUGAUGGUUGCUUGUGGGGUGUUUAUUGGACUCACGUGAUACAAAAAAUCUAACAUGGCAACGGAAGGAAAAAAAUUAAUUUUUCCAUUUAUUGGACUCACAUUAUACAAAAAAAAUUAGCAAUCAUGUAACUCUGGCUACUUUACCUUCGCUGAAGCUAUUCAUUCAUCAAUUUUAGAUAGAUUGAUUAGGAACAUUACUAUUUCCAAAUUCUACAUCACAUGAUCGAAGCAAGCUGUUUGGCAUGGUUAAUAUGUGUACAACUUGUUGAGAAGUAAGCAUAUGUUUGGAAUUGCAAAAACUUUUUAGGGUCCCCACAGAGAUACAUUGCGUGUUUUCUUGUUGGGAUAGACUGCUUGUGCUACAUAACAGGUUAUUGUUUCCAAGUAUAACAAAGGCUCUUUGAUAUCCGGUUAUUGAAUUUCAAAUUUAAAGGUAUGGUCAUGCUUUGAGCAAUGAUAACCAUUUUUUCACAUGUUUUCUUGGUAGCUCGGAAGCUAUCUUAAUAUUUAGAGGUGCUUAUAGUUCUUGUUCUUUGCAUUAGUCACCAACUUCCUAUAUUCAGUAUUCUGUUUAUUCUAUAUUUCUCUCUAAUGGGUUCUGUAGUUAUGCAGAAUUUCUUUACACUUCAACAGUUUUGAAAUGAUUUCUCAUGUAUAUUUGGGUAAAGGUAAGUAGGAGAAAUAUUUAUUGUUCAUUGGUUUCUUUCAACCUACCUAUGAUCAAGAAACUAUUGAACUAUAUUUUCCACUCACUUUAUCCUUCAUCUUUAUAGAA